GAAUGCUGAUGGAUGCUCACU
rnacentral:piRNA from 1 species